rnacentral:rRNA from 1 species
GAUAAACGCUAGCUACAGGCUUAACACAUGCAAGUCGAGGGGCAGCAUGACCUAGCAAUAGGUUGAUGGCGACCGGCGCACGGGUGAGUAACACGUAUCCAACCUACCGGUUAUUCCGGGAUAGCCUUUCGAAAGAAAGAUUAAUACCGGAUAGUAUAACGAGAAGGCAUCUUUUUGUUAUUAAAGAAUUUCGAUAACCGAUGGGGAUGCGUUCCAUUAGUUUGUUGGCGGGGUAACGGCCCACCAAGACAUCGAUGGAUAGGGGUUCUGAGAGGAAGGUCCCCCACAUUGGAACUGAGACACGGUCCAAACUCCUACGGGAGGCAGCAGUGAGGAAUAUUGGUCAAUGGACGAGAGUCUGAACCAGCCAAGUAGCGUGAAGGAUGACUGCCCUAUGGGUUGUAAACUUCUUUUAUAUGGGAAUAAAGUGAGCCACGUGUGGCUUUUUGUAUGUACCAUACGAAUAUGGAUCGGCUAACUCCGUGCCAGCAGCCGCGGUAAUACGGAGGAUCCGAGCGUUAUCCGGAUUUAUUGGGUUUAAAGGGAGCGUAGGCGGACUAUUAAGUCAGCUGUGAAAGUUUGCGGCUCAACCGUAAAAUUGCAGUUGAUACUGGUCGUCUUGAGUGCAGUAGAGGUAGGCGGAAUUCGUGGUGUAGCGGUGAAAUGCUUAGAUAUCACGAAGAACUCCGACUGCGAAGGCAGCUUACUGGACUGUAACUGACGCUGAUGCUCGAAAGUGUGGGUAUCAAACAGGAUUAGAUACCCUGGUAGUCCACACAGUAAAC